UAUCUCUCCAUCUGUCUCUGUUUUUGGUUUUAGCAAUUCUCUGUUUGUUCUUUUUGGCUUGCUGCACAAUUGAAAUUAAAUUGCUGCACAAUUCUCUGUCUCUGCCGUUUCUAUUAUUGCUGCACAAUUGUUCUUUUUAGCAAUUCUCUAUUUUUGGUUUUAACGCUGAUUUGGCUCCUUCUCUUCCGCUCGGAACCAAAAGAAAUUAAAGCACAACCAAAUGGCGUUAACGCUGAUUUGGGUCUUUCUCUUCGGUGGCCAGUGUUAGCGUCGUGAAGAAUCUGUUGUUAUUUUGUUAUGAUGGAUUAUUUCCCUGUUUGUUUUCUUUUGUAGACAGAGUUGGCAUUACAAUUGUGCUGGGCCAGUGGGUAUAAAUUUACGAAAACGUUUCAUCGCCGCAGAACAAAAAUUUCUGACUCAAAAUAAAAUCACUCUCUCUCACUCUCACUCUCUCUCUCGAUCUCACUCCGAGAAACAACGAAAUCAACAAGACAGGAAGAGGAAGAAGAAGAAGGAGAAGGAGAAGAUAGACGGACCUAGAUCGAAUCGAAUCGGAUCCGACCCACAUACGCACAUCCUCUUGGGUUGUGCGUUGUUCCACAGGUACUGGCUUUAAGAAGACCCUUCCUCCACAGGGUGUUAGACUAUGAAGAUGAAUUCUUUGCUUUGCUGAUGCUGGUUCUUGAAACUCAUAGUUUACGAACAACAGGUAUAAGAACCCAAGGGAUACAAAGUUCCUCAUGGGCGUCUGACUGUAUGGAAUGACAUUGCCAAGUUGUGUUUUGACGGUUUUUGAUGAAAUAGGCUGUUGCUGAUACUCGAUGUGUAUCACAUCUAAAGCUCUUUUUGUGUUCUCAUCAUGCAAAUUUGUCUACUGGCAAGGUGAGCAAUGUCGAUGGCCUAGAUUUAGCUGCCCAAUUGCAUGACCAAUAAGGAUCAAUCAUGUAGAGAAAAGGAUGGCACGAGUGGAAGAUGUGUAAGGAGUUGUGGCGCUAAAGGACUCAAAUAACAAUGGCAACGGUGGAGGAGGAUUAGGCCUUGGAUGGCCUAAAGGCAGUGCAUCCAAGAUGCUCGAUCAACAUCAAUGUAUAUCAUUUCUGCAAGGAUUUCAAGUAUGACCCCAAUACAUUAAGAGAGGCGAUAGAGAAACAGAAAGCUCAUGAGCGAUAUAUGAAAUUGCAAGAACAGGGGAAAACAGAACAAGCUAAGAAAGAUUUAGGUAAUAAAUCAUGUCUUUUAGAAUUUCUAAUGACCUUUUCUUUAGUGGAUAAGUAAAGGGCUUCUUAUAACCUUUUGGGCUGCUUUGGUUCUUUACAUCUUGGUUAGCUUCCAAAAUUUUGGGCAUUCAAGUUGUUACCUGCAUGUUUUCUUCAAAUUAUAUGCUUGAUAUCAUCUGAACAUCAGUUACGUGACUAAUCCCUCACCGUCUACUCCCAUCUCUUUCUUGGUCUAUUAUAAACUAGUUGACAAGCCUUGUGAUUUAGCAGUUAAUAUGUACCUUGGUAUAUAAUUGAAAAGCUUAAGUAAUUUUAUAUUUUGGAUUGUGUAUUACCAUGGCAAUCAAAUUCUUAGCCAAAGUCAUGUAACCUUUGCCAAAGAAACUUCUGUCUGCCUACCCCUGUCAAAUGUAGAACAGUAUUUAGGUAAUAAAUCAUGAUAAAUUACUCCUUUUCACUUUUAAUUGUCGGUUCUAAGUGGUGGUGUGUGUAAUGUAGGUUAUGGAUAUUAUUUUUAAAGAUACAGAUAAAACUUGGCUUGUAAAAUUAUUUUUUUCAUCAAAUUACAAAUACUUUUAUUACCUCCUCCUUUCAUGCUUCUAUGUUGCUUAAAAUUGACUGAAUCUUGAUUGCUGAUUGACUAAGAUUAAAUAGAAAGUUGCACUCUUCUACUCCAUGAGGAGGUAUAUAGUUGUUUGAACAGGACCUUUUUUAAGUAAUGUAUUUUUCUUGUAUUCUUGCUUUUGAAUAAUGUUAUUUUGCAGUUUUUUCUUUCCUGGUUCAAGU